rnacentral:rRNA from 1 species
AUUGAACGCUGGCGGCAGGCCUAACACAUGCAAGUCGAGCGGAUGAAGAGAGCUUGCUCUCUGAUUCAGCGGCGGACGGGUGAGUAAUGCCUAGGAAUCUGCCUGGUAGUGGGGGACAACGUUUCGAAAGGAACGCUAAUACCGCAUACGUCCUACGGGAGAAAGUGGGGGAUCUUCGGACCUCACGCUAUCAGAUGAGCCUAGGUACGAUUAGCUAGUUGGUGAGGUAAAGGCUCACCAAGGCGACGAUCGUUAACUGGUCUGAGAGGAUGAUCAGUCACACUGGAACUGAGACACGGUCCAGACUCCUACGGGAGGCAGCAGUGGGGAAUAUUGGACAAUGGGCGAAAGCCUGAUCCAGCCAUGCCGCGUGUGAAGAAGGUCUUCGGAUUGUAAAGCACUUUAAGUUGGGAGGAAGGGCAGUAAGUUAAUACCUUGCUGUUUUGACGUUACCGACAGAAUAAGCACCGGCUAACUUCGUGCCAGCCGCCGCGGUAACAC